GAUACCCCAGUCAGGC
rnacentral:rRNA from 1 species